AUGGUGCUCUUUCGAAUACUGAUGGAAGUGUUGUUGUACAUAUCAUUGCAGGUAGAAACAACGCUGAAAAUUGACGAUUAUGGGAAUCUUAUAAAAAGAACCCGGUUGGCAAUUACAGUGUCAAUUUUUGAUAUCAUAGGACAUGAGUUUCGAGAAAAACAUCAAAACAUUCUUCGAGAAGGUUGGUUGAAUCAUUAUAGUUUUAGCAAUGCUUCCAGUCCAGCUCCAGUCAACUUUCAUACAUACAACCAGUACUGUACUGUAUACAACAUCGGUCUAACUGUGUGUUUGGGAGAAGAAAAAUAUAGAUACGAAUAUAUUAUAGAAGUACGAAUACAUCCAUAG
rnacentral:rRNA from 1 species